UACGUAGGUGGCAAGCGUUAAUCGGAAUUACUGGGCGUAAAGCGUGCGCAGGCGGUUUUGUAAGUCAGAUGUGAAAUCCCCGGGCUUAACCUGGGAACUGCGUUUGAAACUACAAGGCUAGAGUGUGGCAGAGGGGGGGUGGAAUUCCACGUGUAGCAGUGAAAUGCGUAGAGAUGUGGAGGAACACCGAUGGCGAAGGCAGCCCCCCUGGGUUAACACUGACGCUCAGGCACGAAAGCGUGGGGAGCAAACAGG
rnacentral:rRNA from 1 species